UACGGAGGAUGCAAGCGUUAUCCGGAAUGAUUGGGCGUAAAGCGUCCGCAGGUGGCUAUGUAAGUCUGCUGUUAAAGAGUGAGGCUCAACCUCAUAAGAGCAGUGGAAACUACAUGGCUAGAGUGCGUUCGGGGCAGAGGGAAUUCCUGGUGUAGCGGUGAAAUGCGUAGAUAUCAGGAAGAACACCGGUGGCGAAAGCGUUCUGCUAGACCUGUACUGACACUGAGGGACGAAAGCUAGGGGAGCGAAUGGG
rnacentral:rRNA from 1 species